rfam:Rattus norvegicus strain BN/SsNHsdMCW Contig14400, whole genome shotgun sequence.
UUGGACUCUAUUCGCAAUUGUAAAAGAUCCUUCUAACUGGGGCAUACAUCCCGAAACACCCUCUUUUUUUCCCCCGUCAGCGUGUCUGGUAACACAUUAAAAUAGAAUCGUAAUCAAGCAAUCAGUCCUUUAUAUUUUCCUCCUAGUGAGUAUCUGGAAAACAGGUGCAGAAAUGGAUCAUUUGAGACACCGUAGAAAUCUGGUUAAUCCUGCCUGCCUGCUUUCCUU